GCACAUAAAAUUGGAAGUGGACCGAUCCCGGAGGCCGUGCAAUACAGGGCCAACCCGUGGCGGAGGUGAAGCAAGCUUCAAGCACUCUGCCCCAUUCCAAAAAUAAGUUUAAUAUCUUGGGUCCAAAUAGGACCCGUAUCAGAUAUUAAGCUGAUAAGAACAGAUACU
rnacentral:snRNA from 1 species